AUUUUAUAGAUGUGAUCCACCUUAUGGGUGGAUGAAGCUGAUUUUUGUAGUGCAAAUGAUCCUCAUUGUGGGACUAACCUAUUGGAUUAGUUGGAUGCUGCAUUCACUUAAGAGGUUGUAGGUUAUUCUUGGGUAGAGCAUAACUUGUGGUCCAACAAAUUGGACAUGAAACAUUCUCUCUCUACACACCCCCAAAAGGUGAGAGCACACCCCUAGUAAUUGUAUGGACAAAAAGCUAUUCUAGCCCCCUACAUAUUUUUACACUUAGGUGUGUGGGAAAAGGUAAUCCUAGCAUGAAGACAAUUAAUCUUGUGCCAAAGUAAGGCUCAUCCAGUCAUAUGGAGCAUCACAUGCUCAGGCGAUCACUUCUUUAGGUUCUUAGAUGUACUGAAAAAGUACACAUGCUAUCAUGGCAUACACAAUAAAAUCAUAGCCAUCCAUGAGUUGGGACCAUUUUAAAUAUGCACUGGGAUACGAUUAUGCUUCCGAGCUGAAUAGGUAGAUCUAUGUACGUUGAUCAAGCACGUGUACCUUGAACAUGAAAUAGUAGUCAUAUUUUUCUAAGCUUCUAAAUUUUCCCAUAGGUGUUGUUGAUUAAUGGAACAUUUUACUGUAUUGGCAUCGUAUUUUUAUAAUGGGUCCCACUUGUUGAAUGUCGUAGGUUUUUAUAUGCCCCCACAUAUGACUAAUGCCUAUUCAUUAUAUGAGUUCUAGCCCGAUCAUUCUUGUAAUCAAGUAGGUCACCUCUUGUACACUGAAUGUGGAACACUAGUAAAUCUUACCUGAACCUGAUUUUAUCUGGUUUCAGAUCCUGAAAGAAUGACCUCAGAUUUAAAGGAUAUACCCAAUAAGAUCUAGAUAGACAGAGUUGUGCUCACUUGCACCCCAUAUUAAUCACACCAUAACAAGAUAUAAAGAAUUAUUUUCUUAUAAUGUCUUUAGUUAAGAUAUUUGUUUCAAAAAAUCAUUACAAUAAGUCUUUUGUUCAGUUGAUAAUUGACACGUUGAGUUCUUUCACUUUAGUGAUAGAGUCUUGAUCAAGUUUGAACAUCUUUGUAAGCACUUACAAGUUCAUAGCACACCAAUAUUGAUGUUAGAAAUUUAGAUCCUUAGAAUAUAAAAAAUGCUAAUUACUUGUUUAAAUAAAAUAUUCCCCCUCUCUAAAUUUAACCUUUGAUAUUAUUUGUAUCCAAAUGGUCACUUACAUUCUAAUAUGAGAUAUAUAAAUUACAGAAUAUGCAAUGGGCGGUAAAACAUGUACACAAGGAGAUGUUUACAGCUAUGGAAUCCUUCUAUUAGAGAUGAUCACUAGAAAGGGGCCAACUGAUGACAUGUUUAUGGACAAUCUAAGCCUUCAUCAUUUUGCUAAGUUGGCUUUGCCUGAACGAGUAAUGGAGAUUGUUGAGCCACAACUGCUUUAGAAGACACUGAAGUUACUGAGGGUAAUGGAAAUCAUAUCAAUACAAGAAAUAGAAUGCAUGAAUGCUUGAUUUUAAUGGUCAGAAUCGGUGUCUUGUGCUCUUCAGAGUCUCCAGGGGAACGAAUGUGAAUGAAAGAUGUGGCUUCAGAAAUGCAUGCAAUCAAGAACCAGUAUCUUGGGAUCAGGAUUCACAGAGACAUACAAGUUAGAUCACAAAUGUUGGAUGGAGUUGAUGCAGGUUAGAGCGAGUCGACGAUGUUUACCUAGUUGCUAAAAGGGAUCAAGUAGUUGAGGAGCUAUACGAGAUCCCAUUGGAGCAUAUUGAGCUUCAUCAUUAGUUGAUAAAUUUCUAUUUUAGAUUAGGGUACUUUUGGUAUUUGGGUUGUAUAAGUUUUGUAUGGGCACUACAUUUGGAUUUUUGUUAUGAAUGAAAAACUUUUACUUAA